rnacentral:rRNA from 1 species
ACACGCAUGACACACUGCAUAUCAAUAAGCGGAGGAAAAGAAACUAACAAGGAUUCCCUUAGUAACGGCGAGUGAAGCGGGAAGAGCUCAAAUUUGAAAUCUUCAAGGUUCUACCUUGACGAAUUGUAGUUUAUAGAAGUGUUUUUCUGUUAGUAGAGUGGCAAAAGUUCUUUGGAAUAGGACAUCAUAGAGGGUGAGAAUCCCGUAUUUGGUCAUUCUUUCUAGCUUUGUGAUACACUUUCAACGAGUCGGAUUGUUUGGGAAUGCAGUCCAAAAUGGGUGGUAUAUUUCAUCUAAAGCUAAAUAUUGGCGAGGAGACCGAUAGCGAACAAGUACCGUGAGGGAAAGAUGAAAAGAACUUUGAAAAGAGAGUUAAACAGUACGUGAAAUUGUCAAAAGGGAAGCGUUUGACACCAGUGUUGUUUUCUCGAAAAUCAAUUAAAAAUGAUGGGAUUUUGUGUUGUAUUGACUUUAUCAGCUUUCUGCACUUUUUUCUUAUCUUUUUUAAUGCACUUUUCGUUUAACAAGUCAACAUCAAUUUCUUUUGUUGUAAAAGGGUCAUUGGAAGGUGGCUUUCACUUCGGCGAAAGUGUUUAUAGCCUUUGGCUUCUACAAUCGGAGAGAUUGAGGUCUGCAGCGUAGAUCCUUCGGGGUUAGAUACGUAGAUGCUAAGUUAUAGUUUUUUAUAGACAACUUGUUGACUAUGAUUAAUCAUGUAGCUUACUCGUUUACGCUAUUUUACCUACGCUUAGGAUGUUGAAGACUCUACAGAGAUAA